rnacentral:rRNA from 1 species
UGGGGGAUAUUGCACAAUGGGCGCAAGCCUGAUGCAGCGACGCCGCGUGAGCGAAGAAGUAUUUCGGUAUGUAAAGCUCUAUCAGCAGGGAAGAAAAUGACGGUACCUGACUAAGAAGCUCCGGCUAAAUACGUGCCAGCAGCCGCGGUAAUACGUAUGGAGCAAGCGUUAUCCGGAAUUACUGGGUGUAAAGGGAGCGUAGGCGGCAAGGCAAGUCUGAUGUGAAAACCCAGGGCCCAACCCUGGGACUGCAUUGGAAACUGUAUUGCUUGAGUACCGGAGAGGCAGGCGGAAUUCCUAGUGUAGCGGUGAAAUGCGUAGAUAUUAGGAGGAACACCAGUGGCGAAGGCGGCCUGCUGGACGGUAACUGACGCUGAGGCUCGAAAGCGUGGGGAGCAAACAGG